UACGGGGGGAGCAAGCGUUGUUCGGAAUCACUGGGCGUAAAGGGAGUGUAGGCGGUUCGGUAAGUGGGAUGUGAAAUCCCCGGGCUCACCCCGGGACCUGCAUCUCAUACUGCUGAGCUUGAGUACAGGAGAGGGUGGGGGAAUUCCUGGUGUAGCGGUGAAAUGCGUAGAUAUCAGGAGGAACACCGGUGGCGAAGGCGCCCACCUGGCCUGCUACUGACGCUGAUGCUCGAAAGCUAGGGGAGCAAACGGG
rnacentral:rRNA from 1 species